rnacentral:rRNA from 1 species
CCUACGGGAGGCUGCAGUGGGGAAUAUUGCACAAUGGGCGCAAGCCUGAUGCAGCCAUGCCGCGUGUGUGAAGAAGGCCUUAGGGUUGUAAAGCACUUUCAGCGAGGAGGAAGGCAUCACACUUAAUACGUGUGGUGAUUGACGUUACUCGCAGAAGAAGCACCGGCUAACUCCGUGCCAGCAGCCGCGGUAAUACGGAGGGUGCACGCGUUAAUCGGAAUUACUGGGCGUAAAGCGCACGCAGGCGGUUUGUUAAGUCAGAUGUGAAGUCCUCGCGUUUACCGUGGGAACUGCAUAUGAAACUGGCAAGCUAGAGUCUUGUGGAGGGGGGUAGAAUUCCAGGUGUAGCGGUGAAAUGCGUAGAUAUCUGGAGGAAUACCGGUUGCGAAGGCGGCCCACUGGACAAAAACUGACGCUCAGGUGCGAAAGCGGGGGGAGCAAACAGGAUUAGAUACCCCUGUAGUC